ensembl:piRNA 21ur-3692 ncRNA
UAGCAACGGUAUUGUAAUCAA